rnacentral:rRNA from 1 species
CCCUUAGAUGUCCUGGGCCGCACGCGCGCUACACUGACAUGUUCAACAAGCCUCCUAGUUCGACAGGAUUUGGGAAAUCUUUGAACGCAUGUCGUGAUAGGGAUAGAUCAUUGCAAUUAUUGAUCUUGAACGAGGAAUUCCUAGUAAACGCGAGUCAUCAGCUCGCAUUGAUUACGUCCCUGCCCUUUGUACACACCGCCCGUCGCACCUACCGAUUGAAUGUUUCGGUGAAGAUUCCGGAUAGGACUUUUUUGAUUUAUUUCAAUUCUGUCUUAAAAGCUAUCUAAACCUCAACAUUUAGAGGAAGGUGAAGUCGUAAC